rnacentral:rRNA from 1 species
UACAGAGGGUGCGAGCGUUGUCCGGAAUUACUGGGCGUAAAGGGCGCGUAGGCGGCGCGACAAGUCACUUGUGAAAUCUCCGGGCUUAACUCGGAACGGUCAAGUGAAACUGUCAUGCUAGAGUGCAGAAGGGGCAAUCGGAAUUCUUGGUGUAGCGGUGAAAUGCGUAGAUAUCAAGAGGAACACCUGAGGUGAAGACGGGUUGCUGGGCUGACACUGACGCUGAGGCGCGAAAGCCAGGGGAGCAAACAGG